UACGGGGGGGGCAAGCGUUGUUCGGAAUUACUGGGCGUAAAGGGCUCGUAGGCGGCCAACUAAGUCAUACGUGAAAUCCCUCGGCUUAACCGGGGAACUGCGUCUGAUACUGGAUGGCUUGAGUUCGGGAGAGGGAUGCGGAAUUCCAGGUGUAGCGGUGAAAUGCGUAGAUAUCUGGAGGAACACCGGUGGCGAAGGCGGGUCUCUGGGCCGUAACUGACGCUGAGGAGCGAAAGCAUGGGGAGCGAACAGG
rnacentral:rRNA from 1 species